rnacentral:lncRNA from 1 species
ACUAGGAAGGUGGGACGUUGGAGGGGUGGCCGCAUGGAGUGAGUACUGUCUCUGGCCACCGAGCAGAGCCAGUGACAGCAGCGUCCUGGUAGGCAGGCAGGCGUAUCAGGUUUCAGAGGAUGCGGCUGGGAACGGGAGUAGAGGUGAGGGGUCGUUGCAUCUGUCGCGGUGUGUAUCUUUUGGGGGUUCAGCGCCACCAGCGACUUGGGCCUCAUUCAUCGCGCUUACAUUUCUCCACCUCAUUUGAAGAACGAGCUUCGUAGCCCACGGAGCUGAGGUUAGUAUAAAUGUGGAAGGGAGAAGUAUGCACUCACCAGACUAAAGUUUACAGUUUUCACAUAGGUUGUGCUGUUCUGUGUCCCAUAAGGGCCUGCGAGAACCCAGACAUUCUGAAUCGGUGACGCCUGCUGGAGGCAGCAACACCUGUUGCAUUAAUUUUAGAACACACACACACGGAGUUGGUAAUUCUUAAGCUUCCUGAAUCUGCUGGCGGUCAUUUGGUGUCAGAAGCAGAGCAAAGCCAUCUUGGUCAUCUCCCUCCUUUUAGCUUAAACCGAAGCAUGAUGGGGGAGAUAGGCCGAAAGUUAUACAGCUUGUUAAUAACAGAGCCGAGAGUGAAAGCGCGAUUUCUUCAUUUUUAGCCCGGAAUUAUUUGUUGUACACCAUACUGUUUCUUUGCAUUGCUAGACAAUUCGUCUUUUUUUACGAGGUUGACGGGGAGUUGCAAGGAGGAGUGAAAAGGGUGGUAAUGUACAUCUACAUACAGUAUAAAUCCAUGAAAGGCAAAAUCCGUGUGUGUUAGGAGUUAGAACUGUGUCAGUCAUCUACAUCUUCCAUAGUUUGUAGAUGGAGAUGAGUCUGUCACGUCGCUCUGUCAUUUCCCUUUUAGCAACAGAUGUGUAGUAACAAUAUGUGAAGAAGGAACUUUCAUUGCCUGUUACAUACAUUUACACAGAGCGGCCUGGGGUUCACUGAGCAAGCUAUGUGCUCACCCUAGAAAACUGAUUCUGUAGAGUGCACUGCAGUCAAACCUCAGCUGUUUUAAGUAAUCUUACAUUUGGUGCUUGUGUGGCUUAAGUGUCUUGUGCAUUAUUGCAGUCAUCUCUCUCAUGUUAUGAAAUGGAAAUGUGUUGUAGGAAAGUGGCAAGCCUGUGAAGAAAGUAAGUGAGCCUGAGGCCCAGAAAACCAUACAUUAGCAAAUACUGAAAAACUGUUCACAUCACAUAGGGGGUAUCUGAAGUACUGAGGAGCUCAUUUAACCGGAUGUUCAUUGUGGGGAAGCCAUGAAUAGCCUCCCUCUCCUGGGUUCAAGCGAUUUUCCUGCCUCAGCCUCCCGAGUAGCUGUGAUUACAGGUCCAUGCCACCAUGCUCGGCUAAUUUUUGUAUUUUUAGUAGAGACAGGGGUCUCACCAUGUUGGCCAGGCUGAUCUCGAACUCCUGACCUCAGGUGAUCCUCCCACCUUGGCCUCCCAAAGUGCUGGGAUUACAGGUGUGAGCCACCGUGCCUGGCUCCUAUAUAAACAAUUUUCAAACUUGUUGGUCUCAAGAGCCACUUAACAGUUAUUGAAGACUCCAAAGAGCUUUUGUUCAUAUGAAAAUAGUUUUGACUUCACUAACCCCCAGAAGGGCUUUCAGAAGCCCCCACAGAAACCAACUUUUAAGAACUACUUUAUGCAGAUGUUUCAAAGACAUUUUAGAUUAUGUAGAGGAAUGAUUGCUGUUGUGAUUGUGACAUAAGCAGAAGUAUCAACUUAAAAAUGCAACAACAAGCACAGUAGCUUGUAUUUCCAGUAGCUGUAUAAUUCCAGGCACAGAGAACACAAACAGAUGUCCAUUUUUAAUUCUUUUCUUGUUUUUUUUGAGACAGGACCUCACUGUCACCCAGGCUGGAGUGCAGUGGUGCAAUCACAGCUCACUGGCAGCCUCGACCUCCUGAGCUCAAGAGCUCCUCCACCUCAGCCUCCUGAGUAGCUGGGGCCACAGGUGUGUGCUACCACCCUGGCUAAUUAAAAAAAAAAAUGUUUUGUAGAGACAGUGUCUCUCUGUGUUGCUCAGACUGACCAGCCUGGGGCAACAGGGCAAAACCCCAUCUCUACAAAACUGCACCCAGCUAUUUUGUAUUAUUUUUAUCUCGUUGCUUUUUUUUUUUUUCUUUUUCUUUCUUUCUUUUUUUUUUUUAGUGGUUUCAGGCAGUGGUUCAGACCAGCUGCUAGAGAAUCAUGGGCUAAGAAGAGAAGACUACCAAUUUAGUAGAUUUGGACAUGGACAAGCCACAGGCAGUUUCUCUUCUCACUCUCUUGGCCAGUCAUCUCUUGCUCACCUUCCCCUGCCAGUAGCCAGUAGCAUGUGACAGCCUCUAUAUUCCAUCUCCCUUUUCUCCCUCUUCCAGAACUAAGAUGAGUUUUCAAUGGAUAACUGUACAGAAACAUACCCACUGCUGAGUUUAUAAUAAAUAGGUAAAUGGUGUUUAAAAUGCCUUCUGUAGGAAUCCUUGGUAGAUAGUUAUAUGUGGUUGUUUUUUGGGAAGUUGGCUUGAGGUUCUUUGAAGGGCUGGGAACGUGUAUUUCUUUUGCGUGUGCCUGUGUGUGUCAAAAUUUUAUAUGUUCAUCAGUGCUCUACACGUUCAGAGAAACGUUUCCAAUAACGAACCAUAGAAUGAUCCCUGGAGCAUAGGAUCCCACUGUUUGAAAAUUCUAGCCAUCGAUCACUUUAUAAGAAAAGGAUGAAAUUUCAAACAAGGAGUUUGUUUAUCUGAUUUCCACCCUACAGAUAAUAUAUAAAUUUGGCCAAAGUUGUUUGGGGAAGAGGGGCUGUUGUUAGGUACUGAGCUAUAAUACUUUGUUGCUUUGUAUCACUUUUAAAAGUGACUUUUAAAGAUACUUGACAUUUGAAAAGGAAUCACCUUUGAUCUUUCUAAGUCCCUAAUUUGACAUUACCUUUAUAGCAUAUAAUUUAUUCCAUAAAGUCUUAGAUCCUGAAACUAGUGGAAAGCCAAAUACUCAUGUUGUGCUAUAAAUAUAGGAUUGACAGUUAAGCUUACUCAGUAGUCAAGGGGGCGGCUUUCACUCACCAGCCUCCAGGGCAUAUGAACCAAAUUUAUGAUUCAGAACAUUUAAAAUAUACAUUUUGAAGAUCUUUGGGCUCUCUUAAGUAUAGUCUAACUAUAAUAAAUAUUAAACAUGUCAAAGGUCUCUUGCAGUGUUGGGAAGAGCAUUCUAAACCACAUACAUCUUUCCCAUCCCCAGAUUGUUCUGUGUCCCCUCCCACUCUUCCCAGAUUAGAAGUCACCAUGGAGCACUAUUAGUAAUGGGACUCUGUAUCAGAUCUUUAAGGUGUAUUGGGACAGAAGAAAGGUUGAUAUUUUGGGGUUGUUUGUUUUUUUUGAGACGGAGUUUUCACUCUUGUUGCCCAGGCUGGAGUGCUAUGGCGUGAUCUUGGCUCACUACAAUCUCCGCCUCCCUGGUUCAAGCAAUUCUCCUGCCUCAGCCUCCUGAGUAGCUGGGAUUACAUGCGCCCACCACCAUGCCCGGCUAAUUUUUGUAUUUUUAGUAGAGACGGGGUUUCAUCAUGUUGGCUAGGCUGGUCUCGAACUCCUGACCUCAGGUGAUCUGCCUGUCUUGGCCUCCCAAAAUGUUGGGAUUACAGGUGUGAGCCACCAUGCCCAGCAGGUUCAUAUUUUUAAUGUUUCCUUCUACUCCCCAAGCACACACAAAUUUGAAAGCUGCUUUGCUUUCUAAUAAAGAGGCUUUUCCUUUGAUUUUGGAAGAUAAUUUGAUGUCUCUUUUCUCUUUGCAGGUAUAUGAGCUCCCUGAAAGCACAAAGCAGUUAUUUCCAUCUUCAGAUCAUUCAGAGAUUAUGAAGGCACAAACCCUGCCUUCAAUUUGCUUAUAGUCAAGUGGAGCAGACACAAGUCAAUGAUUGCAGUAUAGCCACUGAAGUAAUCUAAAAGAGGUGAGUGUGGCACUUAACCUCUCCUGGGAGGGGGAGGAAUAAGGCAGUGUUUCCAAGAGGUGAUUUUGGAGCUAUACAGGCAUUAGGUAGACAAGGAAGGGGAGGUCCAUUCUGGGUGCCUAGGACUCUGUGGCUGAUUUAUAAAUCGUAAAUGGUACAAAAAACAGUGUUGAGUAUCUUUUACCUUUCUCCAGAGUACUGUUCUUACUUUUGGAUAGUGCUUCUUGUUUUUUCCUUCCCUCUCCCUGUCCCUGUCACCUUUAAAUUAAAUGAAUGUUUGGAAGGAAGUAGGAGGGUAAGAAUCUUUCUGGGUGGCAGAAUAAUAGAUGGGUCUACCAAGAGCGAUGUAUAUACCCAGUAAAGCCAUCUCUAAAACUGUGUUUCUGCAUUGUUACAGUGCAUAGUUGGGAAAUCUCAGUUUUGUUGGCUGUGUACUUUCCCAGUGAAUGGAUUAUAUUCCUUUCUGCGAGCCAGUCUGUUUGAAUUUAAGGGCAUCUCUUAAAUUCCUUUCAAGCAAGAGACCUAACAUUUAUACUUAGGAAUGAGAGUAGUAGAGACAGCAAGAUUAGAAUCCAAGUUCAUAUACCAAAACAUUUUUAUUUGCUAUGUCUGAGUGACUACAUGUUGUUUGAAUCAACUGCAGGCUAAUUUGUAACAUUUCAAAUAAAUGAUAGUUUAAUUCCUCCAGGAUUUGAGUAAGGUGAAAAUAGAGCUAAAAACCAUGAUUCUGUCACAGUCUGGGAAAAUGAAAAAGCAAUCAAUUAGUGAGUUGGGCUUAAUUUUUUUUUUUUUUUUUUCUGGAACUGGUGAUAGCAGAAAACAAGCAGUAAAGUAGUCAGACAUGAUAUACUUGACAAGAACCACCACCUGUUCAGUAGCAACUCUAAAAUAAGUACUAACUUAGGGGCAGUUGUUGUGCCCAGGUCAUAGUCAUACUCCUUCCAGGAGACUUCCUGAUGACAGAAAAGAUGCUGACCAGCUGGGGUCUUCUUUCCAAAUAACUUUUCUCUUGCAUUUAGAUUAAUUAACCAUUGGUUACAGUGAAACAAGCAUAUGUACAGAGUUAAUCUCCUAUAGCUUGAAGUUAUACAUGAUCUUUAUUUGAGUAUCUUGACUUGUUAAAGGACAGUGUUUUAAAAGCUGGAUUUGGUUAUGUUCUUCUGGAGACUAAGAAAAUAGAGUCCUUGAAAUCAAGCUGACUCUGCUUUUAGCCUCCUAAAUGAAAAGGUAGAUAGAACAGGUCUUGUUUGCAAAAUAAAUUCAAGACCUACUUAUCUACCAACAGCAAUUACACGCUUUCCAUUGUCUUCCUAUAGAAAAUAGGAGUAGUACACUUAUAGAUGAGAAAACUGGAGAAAGACAUAGUGAACAUGUGAGAAUCUUGCUCUACUAAUUGAUAGGAAGGUGACUAGAAAUUGGCGAAGUUUUCUUGGUAAGUUGAGGAGAGGACUUUUCUUAUAGUGCAGUCUGGUAGCUGAACCGCCUUGCAUCAAGACCAAUGUAGUCUUAUUUACAGAAUGCCACAUCACAGUGAAUUGUGCUGUGGACAGCUUCCAGUGUGUGAGUUGUGGAAGAUGAUGAUUUUAACAGAUUUUGGAGGAUGAGAAGUAUUAAGAAGAAGGCCCCACUGUCCAUGCAUUUGCUCUGCUUUUUACUUUUGACCAAGUAUACACUUCAGAAAUAUCUUAUUGGAUGUAUACAAAGUGAUUGUGUGUCAUUUGAACCAGCAGGAAGUAAUUUAUUAAACACACUUUUCUAAAUAAAAGUCAUUUAAUUUUAUCAGAAAUCAGUGUCAUUUUAGAUUGCAAGUCUCAAACCAACUUUCCAAUUCUGACUUGUAAGGGUGCCUUAAAUCCUGAAUACUGUACUCUGUAUUACUAAACCCAUGUUAGUUUACGCCAAGAUUCUGUGGUGGUUUUACAUAUUCUUUUUCCCCUUUGUUAAGGUGGGGAGGCCACAGCUUAUGUGAAUGACUUUCUCAGGAGUUAUAAAGUGAUACAGGUAAAGCUAAGAAAAGAACAGAUUUUGAUAACUUUUGUUUUAACUGUCCAGUGUUAGGGAUUGUGGCUACAGUGGUCUAAUUUUUAAAAACUCUUUUUUUUGCUUUGUUUUUUAACAGACUUAUCAGCAGGUUGCAGGUGAACAUGGCCUUGAGGUAAAUCUGUCCCUUGCUGAAUACAGUUUCAGUAGAUUGUUUAUAGUAGUUUCAGGAAUUGAGAUUUUUUACAAAAAUACAAAAGUUUUGCUUGGUUCUGUUCUAGAUGUUUUCUUCUAAAUAAAUGAGAAAGAUGUUUC